AAACAAAGUGCAUUGGGUGAAUUGGGCUAAAAUGAAAACGCUAAGGGCUUGUUCGUUUCACGGUUAGUCCAUGUGGAUUGGUUAGUCCAUGUGGAUUGGGUGGUAUUGAGUCGGUUUAAAUCCAUAACAAAUCAAAAUCCAUUCCAAUACACUUCAGUCCACAUGAAACUGGAAUAAUCGAACAAGGUCUAAAGAGUUGUGAUGGAAUGGAGUUUAGAGAUAUCGUAGUAUGUUCUUUUAUAAACUUAGUCAAAACUAAACAAGUUCAACUUCAACUUAUAAUGAAAUUAAAUAGACGAAUAAGUACAUUGCUAAUGCUGGUCUUCAGAGAGUGCGAUGGUUUGUUUCAUAUGAUUCACUAUGAUGCUUGUAUCAUAUAUAAUUAAUUCAUGUUCCGCAUUCAGUG
rnacentral:lncRNA from 7 species